rnacentral:rRNA from 1 species
UACGUAGGGAGCAAGCGUUGUCCGGAAUCAUUGGGCGUAAAGCGCGCGUAGGCGGCCCGAUAAGUCCGCUGUGAAAGUCAACGGCUCAACUGUUGGAUGCCGGUGGAUACUGUCGGGCUAGAGUACGGAAGAGGCAAGUGGAAUUCCUGGUGUAGCGGUGAAAUGCGUAGAUAUCAGGAAGAACACCCGUGGCGAAAGCGGCUCUCUGGAACGGUACUGACGCUGAGACGCGAAAGCGUGGGGAGCGAACAGG